rnacentral:rRNA from 1 species
UGCCACAGCCAUGUCACCCUGCAGCCCAGGACCGGUUACUCACUGAAGCUAAGCAGGGCUGAGCCUGGUCUGUACCUGGAUGGGAGACCACUAGGGAACACUAGGUUGCUGUUGGAA